GUGGUAUUCACUUUUGUCUUAAUUGUAUUAAUCACUUCAUUUGUAUUUUUAUAAAAUAACAAGAAAAUGUAAUACUUGAAUUACGAAAAAGAAAACCUACUGCUGUUACUGAGGCAGCAGAUGUGGUCUAGGGAUGCCAUGGCUACUGUGCCUCAGUGCUAUUAGCAAGCCACCCGCACUGGCUAGAAAUGAACUGUGUCCCCUCUUUCCACAGGGAACUCCCAGUACAGCCAGCAGCAGGCCGGGUACCAGCAGGGCACAGCCCAGCAGCAGGCAUACCCCCAGCAGCAGUACCCCAGCCAGCAGAGCUACCCAGGGCAGCAGCAAGGCUACGGGCCUGCCCAGGGCGCCCCUCGCAGUACUCCAGCUACCAGCAAGGACAAGGCCAGCAGUAUGGAAGCUACAGAGCGUCGCAGUCGGGACCCUCUGCCCAGCAGCAGCGCCCUACGGUUAUGAGCAGGGCCAGUAUGGAAAUUACCAGCAAUAAGGGACAAGCAUUCUUGUUGGAGCCCUUGUGGUAGCGUGUCCGCCCAGGGAUGGACGGGCCAGUGGCUGUUCAGAGGAAUUGUGACAUGCCGGUCACCCUUCGCCCUAUGCCACGUCUGCAUGUGAAGCGUGCUCAUUUCAUGCUGGGACCUACUUGUUCAGAUCUCCAAGCAAGUGUUCCUUUUCUUUUAGGGAUGUCUGAAAUCCAUAUCCUAUUUUUAAAAAUUAUCCCCAAAACUUUACUGUAUUCUUUUGAGGGAAAACUAAGUUUUAUAUAAUAAAAUUUGAAUAAUUUUUACAUCCCUUAGACAUUCAGUUCCAUUUAAAUUCUGUGUAGCUCACUUGGAAAAUAGUCAAAUUAAAAAUCCUGUAUUUCCGCUAAUAAGUAGCGUGGAUACUUGAUCAACCUUUACUUGAAUAAUAAAACCGUAUCUACUAUGACUCCUUAAAAAACAACUUCAGAUAAAUGCUGAUGUAUUUCUAAGAACUACCAGGAAAAUACAAAAUAUAUCCAAUGCUUGAUACAUCAGGCUUACUGAAGAUGUUUUUCUCUAAUUCAAAAUAGUUAUGUUUUUAAAAUUAAAAGUAAUUUUUAUCCAGAGUUGAGUGCUUUAAAAUUUAUAAGCUAUUUUGUCAGGGGGUGGGGGUUGUUUUUGCUUCAGUUAAUCCUGAGAGGUCAUGUUGGAAAAUACAGAGCAGGUACCAUUCCUAUUUACAGAUGAAGAACUGAGGCUCAGAUUAAAGGCUUUGUCUGUUUUGACUACCAGUCCUAUCCUAGGAUGUUCUCUCCUCUUCUAAGGGACAGAUAGCAACAAACAUGGGCAUAGAAGCAUUUAUUUUGUAUGCACAGGGUCUAAAAAACCUUUAACACUGGUAAGGGCUUGAAAAAUAUGUGUGCCCACAUUAAAUCACAAAAACGAGAGUUUUUAAUUGCUAAAUGGCAAAGGUAUUAGUUUCAUUUAGGGAGUCAUCUCGAUUUUAUUCUUUUCCUUAGUUUUUAUAGAACUAAUUUGCAAAUUCAACUGGGGACUAAAAUUCCCCAUUGAAAGUGUUAAACAUUUACAUACUGUGAAGAUAAUUUUCAUUCCUUGCCAAUCUGGGAAUAUGCCUUUUAUGUAUGUGUUAAUUUUUUUUUAAGUGCCAUAUUAAUGCUUUUUGAAAGAAAAAGGACACUUGAAAAACUUAUCACCCCAAAAUUUCAAUCUGGAAUGUCUUACAUUAAGAAUUUCUUGAAUGUUGUGUAUAUAUUUUAAAAAGCACUUUGUGAAAUAGUUUGUACAUUUAUUUCCUAAUUUAUACAUGAUUUUUGGUGUUAAUAUAUUUAAUAACAAAAUGUUUAUUUAAUGUUUUGUCCACUUUUAUGUAAUUUUGUGGGGAGAAAGUGAUGCCAGCAAUUCUUUUUCUUGACUGUAUUAUAUCUUCUGUUAUAUGAAUGUUUGAAAAAGCUUAGGCUAAAAUGAAUUGUUCACCCAGUGUGGUUGUGCUGUUUAUGACUCCGUCUACUGAAGGCCAGAAAAGAUGCAAAAGGUCUGUGGAUUGCUGUUCAUUCUUCCUCCUAUUGUUUCCUGACUUCCAUCCAGUCAGUGCUGAAUUCGAGAAGUGAUGAUCAUGACCUUCAUUCAGAUGUGCCGAACAAAUUCAUACUGAUGCGCACGCAGAAGCUCAUCACCCAUUAGGGUUUGUUGUUGAAUCAAGGUCUCUUCGGGCUUAGCACGUUAGGAAGUGCACGGGGCCCUGACCUUGCGCUGGAACAGCCUGCAGAGAUAGUAAUAAGGUGGACAGGAUGAACGAACUCAUACAGUUGGAGUCCCGGCGAGCCUCUUAUUUUGCCAGUAUUUUUAUACACAGGCAUUGGGCGCCCAUUCAAAAUUGUAGAAAGAGGAAGACUUUUUUCCCAUUUCCACUUAAAAUUUUAAGUCAUUGCUUCAGUUCUAUUUAUUAUGUCCAGUCUGUCUUGUUAUUUGUGAGUACAGUACCUUUUUUAAAAGAGAUCCUUAUAGGUUCAUUUUUUCGGAGUUUGGCGUAUGAAUUGUUUAUGCUUUUGGUGUAAUCUCUUAAUAAACUGUUCUUCAAAAAGC
ensembl:lncRNA